rnacentral:lncRNA from 1 species
AUGCUCUAAAAUAAAUUUCCUGUUUACUUGAAACAUAAAAUUUCAUUUCCACUCACUUCUCUCCUGCAGCUUUGUGUAAUCUUUUAGAAGCCUCUUCUGUUCAAUGGGUAACUUCAUUAUUAAAUUGAUGGCACCGGAUCAUUCUAGCUAUGCAAAUCACAGACCUAUAGCCAGCUGAGGAAAAUAUGGAUAAAAGAUUACAUUAAAAAUUAAAGCAACGUGUGGAGAUGUGGAGAUAUGUGCUUACUAUUAUUUCUACAUAUUUAAUAUUUAUGCAGUUACAAAGCUAGUCAAGACAACUCUUAAAUCUUGAGUCAUAUUCCUUUUGCCCUCUGACAUUUUUGACCUUGAACUGAGAAAGCCAAAUAAUAUAUAAAAAAUUGGCUGUGGGAGAAGCAUUUCCUUUGGCCUAUAAAUGAUAAAUUCUCUUUCUUAGAAAGUGAUCUCAUUUCUUCCUAGCCUUUGUUUAUUUUCAUUGCCUUGUUUUUCUUUUUUCUUUCUUUCUUUUUUUUUUUUUUUCUUUUCCUCUGCUAUAUUCUGAUCACCCUUGAAAGCACUGGGCUUUCAGUCUUCCACAGUUUGGUUGUGUUGUUUUCUGGUGCUGCUGCUGUGAUGUGUUUUCUGUCAGAGGAAAUUUACAGGCACAUUAGCCUACUUGACAGGCACAAUGAGGCACAAGGCUCUCCUAAGGAGAAACUACCACGUGCUGUGGGGAGGUUUUCUCUGUCUCUCCAUCUAACCCUCCCUUUUAUGGCUUAGUACACCACCAUGCUUCAGAUACAAAUCCCAACCACUUUUGCUUAUAGGUCUUGCCUUGGAUCCUGGAUUUAACUCUCUGGUACCUAGUAAUAGCAUUACAUUGCUUCUACAGUAAUUAAUUCAUACAUCUCCAACAGUCUGCUGAUAGCACUUUGUGGAUAAAGCCCAUAUCUUCAUGCAUAGCCAUAUAGAUACCAAGUAAGCAAUGGGUGGGAACCUUUUUUUCCAAUGGCAAGUCAUUGACACAAAGAGGGGAAAAUAGCAUCCAAGAACUAUACAGAGGAAAAGCAUUAUCAUCAAAUUUUAUGGAGGGUGUUCAGAGAGAAAAUUCUAAAACACUUAAUUUACUUUUCUCAGUGUGUCAUAGAAAAAUGGUCAGCAAGAAUCAAUAAAACUUAUUAAAAAUUCAAAAAUAGAAAAUGAGAUAUAAAUGAAAGGGUGAACUGUUUCCUUGGCAUAUUCCAAAUAAAUUAGAAUAUUACCCUAGAGCCACUGGGGAACCAAAGGCCUGUGUAUUUGCAGUUUCAUAUAUAUUAUGCUACCCUCAGGGAGUAAAUUUGCUAAGAUAGAGCGGUUCUGGUACAUUCAGACCUUGACUUCAUGCUAAGCAAUCUCUUCAAUUUAAAAUUUUCCAUGCCUUUUAAAUGAUUUUUGAAGGGUGAUUUUAUUUUGAGAACAUUCCCUUUGUCCUUGGUAUGUUUGACUAUAAGCAUGUGACUAUGUACCCGACAGAAAUCAUUUAGAAGAAUAGUCCAAAAUCACGUGUAAGUUUCUUGCCAGUCUCUGCCAGAGAGCAGAGAUAUUUACCAGGCCAAUCUAUAAUAUUGGCCUGAGGUGCUCUGUUAUUGAAUGAAUAAAUAAAUGAAUGAACCUUGCAUUAUCUAGAAACUAGGAAUAGGUAGUUUCCUGGUAGAUUUAUUCUUUACAGAGUUAACUAGGAACAUUCUUAGUUGCGCCCUGUCCUAGUCCAUCCGGCUGCUAUAAUAUAGACUAGGUAGCUUAUAAACAGCAGAAACCUAUUGCUCACACAUUCGGAGGCCAGAAAUCCGAGAUCAAGGUGCCAGUGGGCCAUCUUCCUGGAUACACACUUCUCACUGUGUCACUAUGUGGUGGAAGGGCCUGGGGAGCUCUCUGGAGUCUCAUGAGAGCAUGACUCCCACUCAUGAGAGCUCCACCCCCAUGCCCUAUGCACCUCCCAAAGGCCCCAUCUCCUUUACCAUCACCUUUGAGGAAUUAGAAUUUAAACAUGUAUAUUUUGUUGAAAAUGAAAUAUUCGGGCCAUUAUAGGCUGCUUCACCUUUUCCCCUCUUUUUGGGGGCUGUGCUCUCUCAAAGGUUUCCGUAUAGCUAACUGCAAGUGAGCUCUCACCUAUGCCCUCUGUCUCUCCCCAUCCUUAGAAGGACAAAGGAGUUUUUCUCAUUCCUGGCAGCCUCAUGGUCCGUUGAGAGACUGACUCAUUCCUUAGAUUCCAUCAGAGUGAGAGUGGACCAUGGAUUCCUCUCUUUAGAGUGAUUCUUCCUUGUCCUUUUUUCUGCAGUGGCGGUGGUUCUCCCUUCUGCCUUUUGCUCCUCUGUAAUGACUGUAAGGAUGAGGAGAAGGACCUAUUUUCCAGGUUGUCACAUGACUAGAGGUCUUUCCAGCUAGUUCAGAGCAAUGACUACAAGUACCACCAGUCUUGCCCACUGUCUGGAAAAUACAGAAUACUUGGAAAGCAAGAAUUAUCUUUAUACAAACAAAACCAAUAUGCCAGUCAGACACUGGACUUUAUAUAUAGCCAUUCUGCAUCUAAAUAUCUUUAGAAAUAGGAUUCAUUAAUCCAGGGUGAUUUAACUAAGAUUAUUUCUGAAACAGGAGGCCAAUUUAGAUAAUAUCCAAGGUGUCUUUAAACUCCUUUUUUGUUUUGUUUGUUUUUUUUUUAACUGAAAAGUCAUUAAAACAAUGGAUACAUUUUCAUAAAUAAUAUAAAUUUCUAUCUGCAUCUAAACCAUUGGGAGAUUUCCUCUAAUUUUAACUCUGAAAUAUUUUAACAAAUGAUCAUCAAAUACCUACUCUGUGCCAGGUAGGCACUAUUGUAGGUGCUGGAAAUACAGCAUAAUGUGUAUAUUAAACCUUCAAUGUGAAGACUGCAUAUAGACACAGAGAAUUCCUCAGGCUCUAAUGACUCCAUUCAUACUUUUUGUACCCGCUCACACUUUAAAUUUUACUCAGGUGAGCUCUCCAGAUCGUGGGUUUCACUUGCCUCCCUGAUCCCCUAAGACUAAACCAAGACGUUAAAUCCCUGCUAUUUUAUCCCCAACCCCAACCUAGUGGAUGCAUUUUCAUUGGGAUGAGUGUAUCCAGGAGGAGAAUUUUAUCAUCUCCCCAAAGUUCUGAGGAGUUUCCCUUAGUACCAAGAACUCUUAACUGAAAGUCAGCAACCAGAGAGGGGAGUUCCCUUCGUGGCACAGUGGUUAACGAAUCCAACUAGGAACCAUGAGGUUACGGGUUCGAUCCCUGCCCUUGCUCAUUGGGUUAACCAUCUGGCGUUGCUGUGAGCUGUGGUGUAGGUCGCAGAUGCGGCUCGGAUCCAGCGUUGCUGUGACUCUCGUGUAGGCCGGUGGCUACAGCUCCGAUGAGACCCCUAGCCUAGGAACCUCCAUAUGCCGUGG